GACGAACGCUGGCGGCGUGCUUAACACAUGCAAGUCGAACGGAAAGGCCCUGCUUUUGUGGGGUGCUCGAGUGGCGAACGGGUGAGUAACACGUGAGUAACCUGCCCUUGACUUUGGGAUAACUUCAGGAAACUGGGGCUAAUACCGGAUAGGAGCUCCUGCUGCAUGGUGGGGGUUGGAAAGUUUCGGCGGUUGGGGAUGGACUCGCGGCUUAUCAGCUUGUUGGUGGGGGAGUGGCUUACCAAGGCUUUGACGGGUAGGCGGCCUGAGAGGGUGACCGGCCACAUUGGGACUGAGGUACGGCGCAGUCUCCUACGGGAGGCAGCAGUGGGGAAUAUUGCACAAUGGGCGGGAGCCUGAUGCGGCAACGCCGCGGGCGGGAUGACGGCCUUCGAGGUGUAAACCGCUUUCGCCUGUGACGAAGCGUGAGUGACGGUAAUGGGUAAAGAAGCACCGGCUAACUACGUG
rnacentral:rRNA from 1 species